GGGUCUGUAGCUCAAUUGGCAGAGCGCCCAGUUCGCACCUGGGAAGAUGUCGGUUCGACUCCGAUCAGUAUCCACCA
rnacentral:tRNA from 2 species